AGACAUUGAUAUUUAAUCCUGAGAACGGUUGUCAAGAAACACACAUACGUUUCAAGCUGCUAAAUAUAUAAAAAAUGAAGAUAUUCUUGCCCCUGUACUUCAUGGUAUUCCUACCUGCCUUAGUUUGGGGAACGAUCAACAGUGAACAGCAUAACGAAGCCAAUACGGCUGAUUUAAAUGCAGAGAAAUGGGCGAGCAGGAACGCAGUUAUUCAUAUUCCGGCUGUCAGUAGAUUUAAACGCAGAAACGUCAAAAAUAAUAUACAUGUGAUAUACACAAUGAUGGAAAAAUUACGAAAGAAAAUAAUUGAAAAGAAAAGGAAGGUACUUAGACGUUUGCACCAUGGAAACCGCCAUCCUAGAAGUAAUUUUAAGCGUAGUUAUAAUUCGGUCGACAAAGCACAUCAAAUAUUUCUAAGAUUUUCGAAAAACCCAUAAAGGGCUAAAUUAUCUCAUUUCAAAGAAUUUCAUAAAAAUUAGCUCUGGUCGCUUCAAUACA